rnacentral:rRNA from 1 species
AGUGAACGCUGGCGGCGUGCCUAAUACAUGCAAGUCGAACGGAGUGGCGCACGGGUGAGUAAUAUAUAGCUAAUCUGCCCCUUGCUGGGGGCCAACAGUUAGAAAUGACUGCUAAUACUCCAUAGCAAGGGAUGAGACUAUAUCGUAUCAGCUAGUCGGUGGGGUAACGGCCUACAGAGGCUAGGAUGCGUAACUGGUCUGAGAGGAAGAUCAGUCACAUUGGAACUGAGACCCGGGCCAAACGCCUACGGGAGGCAGCAGUAGGGAAUAUUGCGCAAUGGGGGAAACCCUGACGCAGCAACGCCGCGUGGAUGAUGACACUUUUCGGAGCGUAAACUUCUUUUGUUAGGGAAGCGGUACCUACCGAAUAAGCACCGGCUAACUCCGUGCCAGCAGCCGCGGUAAUAC